rnacentral:lncRNA from 1 species
CCAAAAAACACCUGGAAUUAGGGAAAAUAUGGAUGAGAGGGGGAAAAGGUGUGAGGAUCCUUCCCAAAAAACACCUGGAAUUAGGGAAAAUAUGGNCCAAAAAACACCUGGAAUUAGGGAAAAUAUGGAUGAGAGGGGGAAAAGGGAAAAAGGUGUGAGGAUCCACCGCUCCUCCUUCCCAAAAAACACCUGGAAUUAUGGAAAACAUGGAUCAGAGGAGGGAAAAGGGAAAGGGGUGUGAGGAUCCUUCCCAAAAACACCUGGAAUUAGGGAAAACAUGGAUCAGAGCAGGAAAAGGGAAAGGGUUUUGGGGCUGCUGUGCCUUGGGAGGAGUUUUCUGGGAUCAG